rnacentral:rRNA from 1 species
CCUACGGGCGGCUGCAGUGGGGAAUAUUGCACAAUGGGCGCAAGCCUGAUGCAGCCAUGCCGCGUGUGUGAAGAAGGCCUUCGGGUUGUAAAGCACUUUCAGCGGGGAGGAAGGCGGUGAGGUUAAUAACCUCAUCGAUUGACGUUACCCGCAGAAGAAGCACCGGCUAACUCCGUGCCAGCAGCCGCGGUAAUACGGAGGGUGCAAGUGUUAAUCGGAAUUACUGGGCGUAAAGCGCACGCAGGCGGUCUGUCAAGUCGGAUGUGAAGUCCCCGGGCUCAACCUGGGAACUGCAUUCGAAACUGGCAGGCUAGAGUCUUGUAGAGGGGGGUAGAAUUCCAGGUGUAGCGGUGAAAUGCGUAGAGAUCUGGAGGAAUACCGGUGGCGAAGGCGGCCCCCUGGACAAAGACUGACGCUCAGGUGCGAAAGCGUGGGGAGCAAACAGGAUUAGAUACCCCAGUAGUC